UAUGUGGGGACGGAGAAGGUUAACUCAGCCGGGUGUUGGAUGUCCCGGUUCAAGCGUGUAGACGUGCUGUUUAGGCAAAUCCGGACGGCUUAGUUGAGACGUGAUAACGCAGCACUCCUCGGAGUGCCAAGUGAGCGAUACCAUGCUUCCAGGAAAAGCCACUAAGCUUCAGUUGAAUGAAGACCGUACCGUAAACCGACACAGGUGGGUAGGAUGAGAAUUCUAAGGCGCUUGAGAGAACUCAGGAGAAGGAACUCGGCAAAAUAGCACCGUAACUUCGGGAAAAGGUGUGCCCUUUGUAUGUGUAGCGCCUCGCGCGUGAAGCAGAAUAGGGUUGCAAUGAAAUGGUGGCUGCGACUGUUUAAUAAAAACAUAGCACUCUGCAAACACGAAAGUGGACGUAUAGAGUGUGACGCCUGCCCGGUGCCGGAAGGUUAAAUGAUGGGGUGCAAGCUCUUGAUUGAAGCCCCGGUAAACGGCGGCCGUAACAAUAACGGUCCUAAGGUAGCGAAAUUCCUUGUCGGGUAAGUUCCGACCUGCACGAGUGGCGUAACGAUGGCCACACUGUCUCCUCCUGGGACUCAGCGAAGUUGAAAUGUUUGUGAAGAUGCAAUCUCCCCGCGGCUAGACGGAAAGACCCCGUGCACCUUUACUGUAGCUUUACAUUGGACUUUGAUAACAUCUGUGUAGGAUAGGUGGGAGGCUUUGAAGUGGACUCGCUAGAGUUCAUGGAGCCAUCGUUGAAAUACCACCCUGAUGUUGUUGGGGUUCUAACCUAGAUCCAUUAUCUGGAUUGGGGACCGUGUAUGGUAGGCAGUUUGACUGGGGCGGUCUCCUCCCAAAUUGUAACGGAGGAGUACGAAGGUACGCUAGGUACGGUCGGAAAUCGUGCUGAUAGUGCAAUGGCAAAAGCGUGCUUGACUGCGAGACUGACAAGUCGAGCAGAUGCGAAAGCAGGUCAUAGUGAUCCGGUGGUUCUGUAUGGAAGGGCCAUCGCUCAACGGAUAAAAGGUACGCCGGGGAUAACAGGCUGAUUCCUCCCAAGAGUUCAUAUCGACGGGGGAGUUUGGCACCUCGAUGUCGGCUCAUCACAUCCUGGGGCUGUAGCCGGUCCCAAGGGUAUGGCUGUUCGCCAUUUAAAGUGGUACGUGAGCUGGGUUUAAAACGUCGUGAGACAGUUUGGUCCCUAUCUGCCGUGGGCGUUGGAAGUUUGAGUGGACCUGCUCCUAGUACGAGAGGACCGGAGUGGACGCACCUCUGGUGUACCGGUUAUGACGCCAGUCGUAUCGCCGGGUAGCUAAGUGCGGAAGAGAUAACCGCUGAAAGCAUCUAAGCGGGAAACUCUCCUCAAGAUGAGACUUCCCGAGGGUUUAACCCUCCUAAAGGUUCGUC
rnacentral:rRNA from 1 species